rnacentral:rRNA from 1 species
CACGUAGGGGGCGAGCGUUGUCCGGAUUUAUUGGGCGUAAAGAGCUCGUAGGCGGCUCGGUAAGUCGGCGGUGAAAUUCCAGGGCUCAACCCUGGAACGCCCGCUGAUACUGCCGUGGCUAGAGUCCGGUAGGGGAGCGCGGAAUUCCUGGUGUAGCGGUGAAAUGCGCAGAUAUCAGGAGGAACACCAGCGGCGAAGGCGGCGCUCUGGGCCGGAACUGACGCUGAGGAGCGAAAGCGUGGGUAGCAAACAGG